CAUUACACCACCGCUGUGUACGUGGCUGUUUUAAUUUCUCUGCAAACACCGAGUCGGAAUCCUGCCAGCCAAACACACUAAGCUGUAUUUGUUGCUUGCAGAACAGCUGAGGGAAAGCUCGGUGAAAUCAGUCAGGUUCAGUUUCGUUUCUUUGUAAAUGCAGCCAGACAGUAGUGUAUAUAAAGGACUGUCAGGACACUGCAACUAGAACCUUCUGUGACCUACAGGGAUUCAGAGGCCGCCAUCUUGGAGAGCCUGAGCCCCAGCUGUCACUCAAACGGAGAGGAGGCGGAGCCUCCGGAGCUCACCGAACAGAUGGGCGGAGACCUCCGCCAGACCACACUCUAUCAGGAGGAAGUGUCCACCAGGAAGGACUGUGAGAAAGACGCAUCCUUGUCGGUUACCGGGGCGAUUUCUCUCCCGAGUCCUUCCCAGCACUUGGCCAAUCAAAAUCCGGACGAACUGAAAACGGAAACCGCUGACGAGGAGUGAGCCUCCGGGGAACCGCCGGGAAGAGGAUCAUGGGACACGGAGUUCCACCCAGGAUUCCUACACUCCAGCUAGUGCCACUAUAAAUAUUUAUGACAGUUAACAGUUAACCCCCCAGACAACUCUUUGGGUGAAUUCAGGUAAUGUUUGUACAUUUAAUCCAGACUGGGGGCAGAAACUGAGGUGUCCCAAAUUAUCUGAAUUCACUUACAUAGUGACCUAUAUACAGUGCACUCUGACAAUGUAAUAACAGAUGACUCUUGAUGGAAGCUGAUGCUGGACGAUGGGCCCUUAAACCCCCAAACUGAGCCGCGAAGGCCACCCUCCCCUUACCUCAGUUUACUUUAUUUUUACCUUUUUUCGUGAACAGCUCUAUUUGUCCAAUUCUGGACAGCCGUGGUUGUGGUUGGAUAAACCUGCAGGGCGGGAUUAAAAGGAGUGAAAGUACUUUUGUUGUUGUUGUUGUUGUUGAUGUUGUUAUUUCGUCUCUUGUGUGGGUGAGGGUUAAGACAACAUUUAUCAACAUGUGAUGGACAUGUUUCCCUGAAACAUGUAUGUUUUCAUUCCUGUGUACACCUGGACAUCAUCGCUGAAUGGAUCUAUUAUCGAAUGGAUCAAUAAAUGUAAGAUCUCUCCUGAA